UACAGAGGGGGCAAGCGUUGUUCGGAGUUACUGGGCGUAAAGGGCGCGUAGGCGGCCUUCUAAGUCGAACGUGAAAUCCCCGGGCUCAACCCGGGAACUGCGUCCGAGACUGAAAGGCUUGAAUCCGGGAGAGGGAUGUGGAAUUCCAGGUGUAGCGGUGAAAUGCGUAGAUAUCUGGAGGAACAUCGGUGGCGAAGGCGGCAUCCUGGACCGGUAUUGACGCUGAGGCGCGAAAGCCAGGGGAGCAAACGGG
rnacentral:rRNA from 1 species